GAGCUCGAGUUCUACUACUUUGUGUGCACACGAAUCGAGCUCGUGUCUGUCCCUAAGCUUAGGAAAGUGUGCUGCAAAUCUUGGCCCUGCAAGAACCCCCCGGUGCGCUUCGGCUACGUUCCAAAGCUUCAUGAUAUAACUCUCCAUGCUAUUGCCAAGGCAUGGCAGGCGCCAUUUGCUUUGAGUGAGUGCCUACCAAGGAGCGCCAGGAAUCUGUCUAAUCGGUGUCUUGGUUUUGGCACCCGAAUGAUUUGGGUUCAGCUGGAGCAUCCGAAGCACCUCACUGCUACAUUCCGCAACUUGACUUCUGUGGCGCUUAUCAAUAUCUUUCCUGAGUGUGAUCUGAGCUGGACCCUGUUUAUCCUUGAGGUUGCACCUGCCCUGCAGAAUUUCGAUUUGUCUCGAGACCGGCCUUCAUGUUUCAACAUUCCCAAGGAAAGUGCUGAGAAGACCACCAUGGUGUGGGAGCCAUCCAAGGAUUUGAAGCACCUGAACUUGAAGUUGCUCCAGAUAUUUGGGUUCGAGGAGGAAGACAAGGUGACAAACUACAUAAGGCUAGUCAUGGAGCGAGCUGUGGGGUUGAAGAGAAUCAAGCUGCGUGGUGAACUCCCAUGCAAGAAAUGUGAUGCCAUUGACCCAAGGAGGUCCCAGGUGGAUGAAGCUCGCAGGAUUCGAAUCAAGGAGCGACUCACACGUGGAUCCUCCUCAUCCGUGGAGAUAAUAAUGUGCUGA
rnacentral:rRNA from 1 species